rnacentral:lncRNA from 1 species
UUGUGUUGGAAAGAAACCAGUUGAUGUUGGAGAUUGCUGCGGUGCCUGUGGAGACUGCUGCUGCUGCUGCUGGGUCUGGCUCUGAUUCUGGGCUGGUGAAAGAGGAGGUGGAGGUGGCGGCCCACUUGGCCUUGGAAAGCCUGGAGGUGGCAUGUUCGGCAGUGGAGGUGGCAUGUUCGGCAGUGGAGGUGGCAUAGAGCUGGCCAGCAUCCCAAAAGGUCCCAUUCCAAACAUUCCUCCACCAUUUUGACUGAAUUGCUGCACAAGUGGUGGCAGUGGAGGGGGAGGUGGUGGAAAUGCACCCGGUGCUUGAUUUGCCUGCAGCGAUGGCUGCAUGCCUCCAAGAGAAGUAGGCGCUGCUCCAUUCUGCUGUGCUUGUGGCAAUUGCCCAAAGAAAGAGGGAGCACCCAUGUCACCAGUCUGCGUAGGAUUCUCGAUUCUAGGCCGCUUUGGUAUCUGGAACCCUGGAGGCCCUUCCGAGAGCUCUACGGAAGGCGAGCUGUUCAUGGAAGCAGCUUGUUCAGCAACAAGGGAGGCCAAAAUGGAGGAGAGCACCUGCUCCGGAGAUGCCAAAGAUGCAAGUUUAUCUGCCAUAGCUGCUGCUGUUUUCUUGGGCUCAUCAUCUGCAGCACUGGCUGUGCCUGAAAGCGGGAUUGCUGGAUGUGGUGGUUGAAACUGGGAAGUUAUUGGGCUUAUUGCUGCAUUCUGCAUCAUCGCAGCAGUCUGCUCUGACGGAAUUGUGGUCAUGAGUGUACUAGAACUAGACCAUGCCCGAUUAGUAGCAUGGGCACCACCAAAUCGUUGUCUUAGUUGCACGGCAUGUUCAGCCUCUGCUCGAGCAACCUGUGUCAAUUAACUCUAAUUAGCUGCAGGUCACUUCAGCUAUUUUUCAAAUAACUCCUAUAACACCACUACAGAGACAGGCAAAAAUAGCGCAAACUGAGAUGGUAGAUAGCAAUGUUGAACAAAGUUAAUUGUAACCUCAUACAAAAAUCCAGCAACAAGUGACCAGAAAUGGAUACAAGAUAUGCAGAGAAGCUACAUGUUUGGGUUCUGAACAUGUAAACAUAUCCCUCCCACGAGAACCCCCGAACUGUCUAAUGCAAGCUGGUUAGCUUCACAACUCAGAAGAACAUGUUACCUGAAGCAGUCUAAGCGGGAGGUGGCCUACUGUAUUGAAAAAACAAUGGGAGAUUGCAAGCCAUAAGAGGCAGAUUUGUGCUUGAAGUGGGAAGUUAAAACAUGUCAGCUAACAUGUACCCACUUCCCAAUCAGACCAUGGCUAGCGUACUAGCUUCCAUUACAAAGCAGAACUGCACUGCAGAUUCACUAGUUGUUACCGACCCUAUUACAGCAUCUCUAGCAGAACCCCUAAAAGGUACUCCCUCCGUCCCAUAAUAUAAGAACGUUUUUUGACACUAUACUAGUAUAGAAAACGUUCUUAUAUUAUGGGACGGAGGGAGUAGUAUAUUUGAGGGGGGGUAUUUCUGUUUAGGGAAUUAAUUAACCCCUAGCUAGCAGAUCCCCUAAACGUAAAACUCCUUCAAAUUAUAAGGAAACAUCCCUUGAAAAAACACCCUCUGGACUAUAUUUAGUCCAACGAGGGCAACUCUCAGGAUAAACAGGAGAGACGCGCGUGCCUGCAUGGCUCCUACAAGGCGCUCCUUGACGACCCGGUUCCUAUCCAAGCCACCGAGUGGGCGCGACUGUCGGUGUUCGAGCACAACCAGUACCUCGAGGAGGGGGGAGUCGUCCCCCGGAUCCAUCGCAGGGAAGAAGGCUUUCUUUGAGGAGAACUACGGUAGGAAGCGGAAGAGAGCUGUUGUUGACGAGGAUGACGAGGGGCAUGAUGUUGAUGCGGACGCUGUGUAUAGCUGCGUUGGGGCCUGGUCAGCAGACCCCUCGUGUAUGACGGAUGAGCCUGCUGGGGGAGGGGGAGGAGACCCACGGCGUGGAUUGGGAUGCUCCGGAUUGCGGUGCCAUUGUCAAUGUGUCUCAAGAUCUGACAACCGGAUUGCAGCGCCAUUGUCACACAAGCAGCAUGAUGAGCUGCAAGUUGCUGAAGCGACAAACAGGUUGAAGUUGGAUACUGGAUGCAUCGUGGCUGCUGUUCAUACAGUUGUGAAGCAACCAUUGCAGGUGACUUCUCAAACGGGAAUUUUGUUCAAAGUGUACAGUUUGAUGGUACUAAGUAUUUCAGAGCAUGUGAAUUCUUUGCACGACAGUUCGAUUGUUAAUCAUGGCAUACCAGAUUCUGUCAAGAAAAAGAGGCAUCCGAAAAAAGAGGGUAUAUUAGAGCUGUGUGUGUGUAUGUAAUGUAGGUGUUUGACGAAUUGUGUGAGCCAAAUAUAAAUAUGGGGUGAGUUUAGGGGAUCUGCUAGAUGAAGAAAACUUUAAUCCCCUAAAAAUUAUAAGGAAAUGGGAUAAGGGAUAGGUUUUGAACUUCUAGGAUAGGGGGUCUGCUAGAGAUGCUCUUAGAGAGGAUUCCCUUUGCAUAUAAACGUGCUCCCUAUAUUGUUUUCUUUCUUUAUCCGUUAUCACGCUACUCAAUACUCAUCCAAAAAAUUGCAAAUUCAACAGAAUGUCAAUGACACGGUAAAAUUCUAGCUAUGCCUACAUGCCAUGGAGCUCUUAACAAACAUCAAGUUUCAAGAAUGGUGCCCAAAUCAUCGCGAGAUGGACAAAUGGCUGGCACAAGGCAAACAGGAACCAUAAUGAGGACGCUGAUGAAUCCAAUAAAAUGCACGACACAAUCAUGUAUUUAGCUAACGAACUUUAACUUCUAAUUGGGCAAUAAGAGCAAUAGGCAUCAGAAAAAAAUAAUGACCACAAAUGUGAUCUCCCAGGGCAUAUCAAUAGUUCAUGACAGAUGAAAAAGGAUGAUCACACGUAAGUGGGUAUGAGAAUAUUACUUACUUGCAACUGAUUGCGAAGAAGCUCUGACUUUGUUUCCUAUUACAUGCAAACAAGAAAGAAUAUAAAGCUUUGUUUACAAGCUAGAUGGUAUGCAUAAAAAUUCAGGAUAGAACAUUUCAAAGAUGAUAAAAUAGGUGCUAAGGACCUCUUCACUAAGGGCUUCUUUUAGGUUAUUGAUCAGGGUUAUCCUUGCCGCAUCAAAACUUUCAAGUUGCUCAAUGCACUGCUUCAGAAUCGCUUCCUGUUCUUGAAGGUUGAAUAUCAGUGACGACGCUUGCUGGAUAUCUACGGAAAAAAUUACUCAAGCAUUAGUACUAUCUAUUUGAUACUUAUACUCGGGUUAUGAAGUGAAAACAGAUUAUAAUGUUGCAUUGUAUUAUACUGUCAAAGCAUCAGAGUUUUUUUCGUGUCCAGUUUUUUCUUACUCUGGAAACCCAGAAUUCUAGUGCAAUUUCAGGUUCCAGAUUAUCAGAGGUGCAUAGCUCAACAACAUGGCUAGGGGAACUACUAAUAGGAGCCUAUUCUUGUGCUCUAUAAACCAUGCAAAAUAUAUACUCCCUCGUUCCUAAAUAUAAGUCUUUUUAGAGACUCCAUUACAGACUACGUAUGGAGCAAAAUGAGUGAAUCUACACUCUAAAGUAUGUCUAUAUACAUCUGUAUGUAGUCUGUAGUGGAAUCUCUAAAAAGACUUAUAUUAAGGAACUGGGGAAGUAUAUGGUUUUGAUAUUAGCAUGCAAACUACAAUUAUGUCAAAAUGGACGUCAAAGAGCGAAAAGGGCAAAUGGAGGACGGGCUCCAUGGUGGACUUAGAAAAAACAUACUUCCACAUCACAAAAAAAAAAACAAAUUUUUUGUACAUACACAAAUACAUAUAUAACACGUUCCAGAAAAAUUUCAUAACAAUAUACUUUCAUACGUGGCGUAUACAAAAUAAACAUACAUGAAAAUGGGCCCUUUUGGUUGUUGUUGGGCCAGAUUUUUUUUUUUUUUGUGCAGCUUGCAAACAAUAAUAUUUUUGAACGGAAUUUUACAGAUCAGCGCAAUAUGUAUAAGUUUUCACAGAAUUUUGUUUUUAUCUUGAAAAUAUCAUUUUUGAAUCAUUUGAAAUAAAGUCCACCAAUGUACCCGUCCACCAAAACUUCGCACUCCGUCAAAGAGCCACUAUUUUGAUGGAUAACAUGCAAAGAACGUGGAUGUUGUGUUUUAAAGGAAUACAAAUGCAUUAACCAUCAUCAUUUAUUUCAUUUAACGUGCCCACGUGAUCACAGCAUUAAUGAUUCAUCAACAUACAAAUCCUCUCUAUUUCCAUUAUUUUUUCCCAUGAACACCCACCAAAUCGUAUUUAACGAAAUAUGUGCUCCCCACUAACCUAUUUCACUCAACAUGCAAACAUCCCACCUCAACAUGCAAUCAUGUAUGGGAAAAGACCCACCUCAACAUGCAAUCAUGCAUGGGAAAAGACCCACCUCAACACACAACCAUUCAUGGCAAAAGACCCACCUCAACACACAACCAUUCAUGGCAAAAGACCCACCUCAGCAUGCAACCAUGCAUGGGAAAAGACCCACCUCAGCAUGCAACCAUGCAUGGGAAAAGACCAACCUCAACACGCAGCCAUUCAUGGCAAAAGACGCACCUCAACAUGCAACCAUGCAUGGGAAAACUAUUAUGCUACAUAUAUUCAAUAAAUAAUUUACACUAUCCAAUAAUCAAACACAAGAAAUAUAAAAAAGGCAGCCCGGUGCACAUAGCUCCCGCUUGCGCAGGGUCUGGGGAAGGGUCAAAUAGAUAGUCAAAAAAUCAAAUACAAAAAAACAUAUCUCUGUUCAGUUUUAGUUCUCGUAUUAUUAAUCCAAAUAUUCAUGUUCCAAUCUCAUUGAAAUACAUUCAAUUCCCACAGCAGCGCAGGGUAGCAUGUAGUAGUAGCUUUAAAUAAUGAUGGAACUGGAUGUAAAAUCGUACUGUAACAAUCAUGACACAAGACACAUCAAGAUAACAGAACGCAAGAAAUAAAAUGCGAGUUAAACAUUACGCAAUGGCAGGCAGUUGUCCCUGACAUUUAGACUUAGUGAAGCAAGCAAAAUCCUUACCAUUAGUACAAGCCUCAUCUACAUCUUUAUUCAUCUUCUCCACAACACCCACUGUAAUCUUACAUUUGUUUAAAGCUGUGUCUUCAUCAAAAUAUUGAUCAAGUACAGAUUGGUAUGCAGUUAUAAUCUUUUCAGGCAUCCCGCUAACAGUCAGUUUCUACAGUGAAAGACAAACAACAACAAGACUAUCACUCCCAAAUUCAUCCCAGUAUACUGAAUCAAUAAUAAGUACAAGAGGAACAAAAAUGAUGUCAGUAGAAAACAAUUGUCACUUUACUUUUAUUAUUGGACUGGAAUCCCUCUGAGAAGAUUUCGAAACUGAAGAGGGCUUCGAGGUAGGAUUUGAAGUAGUACUGUUGUUAUUUAAUGCAGGAGGAUUGUCACCAAGAAUGUCCUUCAGACUUUCGCUCCGAGUUCCAAAAACCUUCCGCUCGUCCCAAAUCCCUAUCUGCAGAUACAGGCCAACAAAACGAGAAGUUAUUCUUUUGCAUCUUGGCCUUGCAAUCACAACAAAUAAUUUAUUUCUUAAAUUCACCACAAAAGGUAAUUUCACUCUUGUAAUGCGUGAAUAUCAGGAUAAUAAAUGAAUAGUCAAAAUAAGAUACAACAGCAUGAUACGCAUCCUAAUAGUUCGCUAAAUAACUAAGUUGAUGGUAACCGUAGCAUUAUGAUGGCACCGCCACAUUUCAACCCCUCAGAAUUCCUGGAAAAGUCUAGAGAACAAAUGGACUUUCUUAACCAUGAAAUAGAAGCAACUUACUAAUCUUGCCACUACUUUCUUUCCAUCUUGUCCCCCAUUUUCAUAGAAAUCUUUCAGUAACCCAGGAAGAACCCUCCAGAACUCAUUCACAAAUUCUCCUCCCUUGCGUUUGCUGUUUUGCAGGAUGUCAUUUGACAGAUACAGGAAUGAUACUUUCUUAUCGGUUGUUGCAUUAUUAAACUGCCUCUGCCAUGUAUCGACAACCCUUCUGGCUCUCUUUCGAUGAAAUAUGCACCAAUUAGAAAGUGCUGCUUACGAAUGAAGGAAUACAAUAGACAAGCUAUGGCGGUAUAUACAGCAUAAGGUAAAGAAAAGCAACUAACUAAGCUGGCAUCUGAUAUUCCAGAAAACUGGAAUUGAUCCACGUUAUACGAAAAUAUAAUCAGAGCACAGAAUGUAAAUAAAUCAAAGUUGAGUAUACCAUCCUAUAAUAAAGUGGGACACAUACUCAUACUUCCACAUGUUAAUACAGAAUUAUUUGCCAUAUCUGUAACCUGGCCAACCACAUGUUAAUAUUGCACUCUCAGUCAUCCCAUUCGACUUUGAUAAUUAACGUUUUUGCAUAAUAAAUACCUACUGGCAGAAUUAGAAGGGUUGGAGACCCAAAAGGAGGGAGUACUGUGCUUAAAAACUCAAGUCAUUUGCAAAGAAACACACCAAAGUUUGUAUUUCGUAGUUUCACGAGACUUGAUUAAAAGUUUGAAAUGAUAAACAAAGAGUAACUUUAAUUUUUUUAAAUGAUAUAACAUAGCAUAUAGCAUGUAUAGCAUGACGUGCCUUAGACUUAUUUAUGGUUACGGAAGACACAAGCACAAAGAUAUGCAAACAAUCAUAUGAUCCACAUUUUUGUCCAUGGAAAAGCAUCUGCAUGAUGAAUGCUCUCUGCUUCCUCAAACUCUAAAUAUACCUUUUCCAAUAAAUUGUCGACUGUGAUUGUGUAACCAAUGAGGGUGUAAGAUAUAGUUCAGCCAACUGAUUAAUUGACUCAAAGUCAAGGGCAUGUGAUCGACAACAUUAAAAAAGUUGAGAUAUUUUGCCAAUACAACCUCAGUGGAUCAGUGCAGAAAAAUGUUACUGCAAUCCUGGAGACAUAAUAGAUACAUACCAUCAAAAUAAUUAUGUCAUAAAGAUUGUUCAAGCAACUAACAAAGUGGAGUGGGGUAGGUCAACUGGCAACCAGAAGGAAUAGUUUGAUUUUUCGAACCACAUUCUAACUCUAAUUCCAUGUUAGAGGAAGCGGCGACGUUAAAAGUUGUGCAGACGAAUUUGCUAGCUGGGCAAUGAGAACUCCAGGUAACCUAGAGAAUGCUACUGCGCUGCAAUUUAGACCCCUAAGGCCUUGUUCGGUUAAUCCCUCCCAGGAGGGGAUUGAAGAGGAUUGGAGGGGAUUUAGGUGCAAUUUGACUUGUAGGGGAUUUAAUCCCUCUCAAUCCCCUUCAAAUCUGAAGGAACCGAACAAGGCCUAACAGUUCCUGCCAUCACGUGUCAUUUCUUGUAGAGACCAUCAUUCAAAGUCAAUAGUGCCAAACAUCUUUAUCCCAGGAUUUAAAAUAAAAGGAAAGCAAGCAUUGACAGCACAAUCACAAGUACUCAACAAACCAAAAUUACCGCACAAAUUUUCUUUCAGACAAAAAAAUACGACACAAACUUGAUACGCCACAAUACUGAUUGAACAUCUGAAACAUAGGCUCAUUUAUAUACAUUUCAAACACGAAAGAUAAAACUAAGUUUCUCAUGUAAGAAGACUGAGAGAUCAUCAAAAUAAUAAUCCAGGAGCUACAGAGAUAUUAGUCAGGUUAAGACUGCACUCAUAUGCAGUCUUAUGAGUUGUACUAGUGCACACCAAUAAACAGUACCAAAUAUUUAUGGAGAAAAGAAGACCGUUCACAUUAACCAAUCAAAUGGCGCAGGCAUGGAACACCAAAUAGGAUCUUGUAGGUCAGUUUUUUGUCCUAUUCCACAUUGCAGUUUAGGGUUCUAUUCAUCAAAAUACUAAAAGAAGCAAAGACUACAACAAGGAGAAGCCACAAGCUAUGUUGCUGAAUUUGCGAGUGUGCGAUAAGGACAUCUAAUAAAUAAAUAAAAAGGAUACUCUGGAUGCUCGCCGCUGAGCUGCUGAGCUUAUUGAGCUUCUCGGAGAGCCUCUCCUCGGUGAAGGAGCCGCCGCCGCCGCCGCCGCCAGUUGGUUCGGCCUUUGCAUCUGCCUUCGUGGCCGCCAUCAGGAAGGCUCCACCUAACUCCGCUCCUUCGCGGACCCGCUUAAACCCUAGAGAAAUAUGCACUCCCUGCGCGGACAAGAUCGAAUUAAUCUUGGCGCAGAAAAAUCGCGAGAAGAAGAUAUCAGGAAUCCCGGAGAGUUCCGGUUAACGGCUGGAGCCUACUGGAGAAUAUGGGAAGGGAGGUGCUAACCACGGUUGCGAGCUCCCGAGCUUGAAUUUGCGGGCCGAAGAGGAGAGGGCGGAGCGCUCUUCUGGCUAGUUUUGCUGCCUAGAAUUCAAGAUUGGGAUUUUAUUUGAGUUGAAAUAUACAAAUAAUAAUUGUAAAAGAAAUCGAACAGAUAGCUAAAAUAUAUAAAUAAUAAAAAUAUAAUAAUAUAUCGGAAAAACGGAAGACCACGUGAACCACGGAAACGCGUCCGAGGCAAGUUACCAUUUAUGCUUUUAAAGCCAUCUACGCAUGUGUGUGAGCUAUAAAGCGGGUGAUAAGAUAGAACUCGUGAACAAUAAACGGAAACGCGUUUGAGACACGUUACUAUUUCUACUCUUAAGCACAUUUAUACGUGUUUGUGAGCUGUAAAGUGGACGAUAAGAUAGAACUCGUGAGUAAUAAACGAAAACGUUUCGAAGACAAGUUGUCAUUUCUACUCUUAAACACGUCUGCGUGUGUCCGUGAGUUGUAAAGCAAACCAUAAGAUAGAACUCGUGAACAAUAAAGAUUAUUGUCUUUAUUCUUAAAACCUUCUACUCAUGUGUCGUUAUCGUACUACUCAUGACCGUCAAAAGUUACUAUUUAAAGAUAUAACAUUAUUAACACAAUGAUGCAUACAAUGUACAUUAAAUUGAGGAGUAAUAAAACAAUAUUAUAAUCUAAUCUCGAUUGGUUUGAGUUAUCGAUAGUUUCAAGUGUGAGAAGUGUUAAAUGUGUGAUUUUGACAAUCUAUGAUAAUCUUAAAGAAUCAAGUUGUCGAUGAUUUUACUCUUAACAAGGAUUCAUACGAUGGAAGUAGAAAGAAUGUGUCGUUUGCUUUCGAUAAUUUUAAAGAUAACACAUCCGGUAAAGAUGAUUGAGCAUGUGAAACCUUAACACACAUGUUUACAUUAUUGUUCUUAUUAGUUACUAUUAGAAAAUACUUUGUGUGUUGUUGCUGAAACUAGGUGAUGAAUAUUUGGGUUGAUAACAUAAAAAACUAAAUUUAAAAUACUCAUGACUUAUUAUAUUUGAUUAUGUAUAAUUGUAAAACAUGUAUUGAAUAUUGGUAGAAUAAUUGAAUGGAAAAUAUUUUCUCAUGCGUCAUUGAAUGUGAUAGUGGGUGUUUUUUCAUGCAUGAUUACAUGUUACGAUGGGCCUUAUCCCAUUCAUAAGUGUACGGUGAGGUGGUCUGCUUGUAUGUUGAGAUAAAUAUGUUAGUGGAAAUGACUCCCUUAUGAAAGAGCAUGGUUCCUCUAUGGUUGGUUUUGGUAAUUGAGGGCAAUCCCUAUGAACUAAUGGUUGUUUUGAAUUCUACUUUAAGGUCCAUUCAUAUGCUUUGCUUGAAGACCAUUAGUUGGUUUGAAGGUUGUAAGAAUGAGAGUACGAGUUGACCAAGGUGCUAUUUAAGGAGUUAUUCAAAUAUUGGUCAUAUGAGAGUUGAGCCUAUUACAAGCAUGUCUUGAAUAAAAAGAUUAUGUGAGCAUUCAUAUUUACCUUCAAGACAUCAUCUUUAUGAAGAGAGAAGAUAAGAGUGAAGGUUGAUUGACGGGGGAUAACCAUGAGGUAGGCUCAUCAGGCCUACUCCUCUAUACUUUGGUAUAGAAAGGAGCAACAACAUCUUCAACCGUCGGCUCCUCCUGGCCGGCUGCGAAGUACUUGCCGGCUAGGAGCGUAGUCGUCUACUCUUUGGCUGGCUGGCCAAGCCGCCAGCCGGCUGAAGGGCCCCUGUCGCACCAAUCCCUAGGAUGUGACGAGGGCCUUUGAUUAAAGGUGAAGGUACCUCAGCACGGGUACGAUGGAGAAGCGCACACAUGGCUACAGUGGUGACGGCCAUACCGCUGACCGACGCCGGCUCCAAUCCGUUAACCCUGCACAGUAUCCGUGAGCCACAUCCCACUCCAUUACCUGGCUCGACGUGGCUACAGUGGAGAUGGUCGUACCGCUGACCGGCGCCGGAUCCCGCUAGACGACGUCGGUCGUACCGCACGCGUCGUGCGUGGAAAGCACGCACCAACCCCAUAGGCUCGCCGGCGGGUCCGAGUGCCAGAUGGGACCGUGCAGCUAGCGGGCCCCUCAAGCGACAAGACUAGACCAUAGUGGGGGCCCUGGCCGGCUUGAGAGGCUGCGAGUCGGGUCCCUCAUAAUAUACCUUGUAUCCAUUUUUGUAGGCCGGUGGGUUCGAUUAUAAAAAAACCUGGCCCCCCUCCAUGCAAAGGGGCGGCCAUUCUUGCACCCCACACACACCACAAAGGAGAGGUAGAACUCGAGUCGGCUGCUCCUUCUUCCUCCUCCGUCGAACGGCUCAAGGAGCAUCCUGUAAACACUCUGGUUCGUUAACCACUCCGGCAGGACUAGGGGUAUUAUCUCCCACAGAGAGCCCCGAACCUGGGUACAUCGUGUGUCUUGCUUGCUAGUUACCAAUCCCGUUCCCGGAGCCCGCUGGUGUCCUUUCGGUCCCAACCUCCCUCGAUAAGCCUACCUAUGGCAUCUCUCCUGAGAAAACGACGACGGUUGGCGCCCACCAUGGGGUCCUCCGCGGCACCAGCCGGAGUUACGCUCCGGGAGGGACCCUUCGCCUACUCCACCGGAUGCUUCACGUCCGAACAGAUCAGCACGCCCGUGGAGCCUGCCCCUGUGGAGGUUUCUGCGGUGUUGAUCGACAGUUCAACCCAUCCUGCAGGCUCUGCUGAGGAGAUCGCCUGCAAGCCGCUUUCCGGCGACGUUGCUUCCGACGUUGCUUGCCUCUGCGCUCUCUUCAGCAACCUGCACCUUGACGGGGAGCCUCACCCCCUUGGCGGGGACAUGGACAUCGACGCUCUCUGCGCACACUUCAGCAGGCUCACCCUUGAGGAUGCACCUGCGCGCGACGAGUACCCCUGCGACGUACUCGAUGAUACAUCUCCAACGUAUCUAUAUUUUUUGAUGGUUCUGUGCUAUUAUAUUGUCAACUUUGGAUGUUUUGUAUGCAUGAAUAUGCUAUUUUAUAUCUUUUUUGGGACUAACCUAUUAACUCAGUGCCAAGUGCCAAUUUCUGUUUUUUCCGUGUUUUUGACCUUUUUCAGAGGAGAAUAUUAAACGGAGUCCAAACGGAAUAAAACCUGCGAAAUGAUUUUUUCUAUAACAAAAGAUACGCAGGAAACUUGAGAACCAAGGCAAAUGACCUCGGAUGAGGUCACAAGCCCACCAGGCCCGACCUGGGGGGGGGGCCUAGCAGGCUUGUGAGCUCCCCGUGGCUCCUCUGCCCUACUUCUUCCGCCUACAAAUUCUCCAAAAAUCCAAAAACGCCAAAGAGAGCCACGAAAAUACUUCUCCGCCGCCGCAAGCUUCUGUCUCCGCAAGACCCAUCUGGGGCACGUUCUAGUGCCCUGCCGGAGGGGGGAUUCGGACACGGAGGGCUUCUUCAUCAACACCAUUGCCUCUCCGAUGAUGCGUGAGUAGUUCACCACACACCUUCGGGUCCAUAGCUAGUAGCUAGAUGGUUUCUUCUCUCUCUUGGAUCUUCAAUACAAAGUUCUCCAUGAUCUUCAUGGAGAUCUAUCCGAUGUAACUUUCUUUUGUGGUGUGUUUGUCGAGAUCCGAUGAAUUGUAGAUUUAUGAUCAGAUUAUCUAUGAAUAUUAUUUGAGUCUCCUCUGAUAUCUUAUAUGCAUGAUUUUGUAUCCUUGUAAUUCUCUUCGAGAUGUGGGUUUUGUUUGGCUAACUUGAUCUAUAAUUUUUGCAAUGGGAGAAGUGCUCGGUUUUGGGUUCAUACCAUGCGGUGUCCUCACCUAGUGAUAGAAGGGGUAGCGAGGCACGCAUCGUGUUGUUGCCAUCAAGGGUAAAAAGAUGAGAUUUAUAUCUAUUGCAUGAAUUUAUCCCUCUACAUCAUGUCAUCUUGCUUAAGGCGUUACUCCGUUUGUUAUGAACUUAAUACACUAGAUGCAUGCUGGAUAGCGGUCAAUGUGUGGAGUAAUAGUAGUAGAUGCAGAAAGUAUCGGUCUACUUGUCUCGGACGUGAUGCCUAUAUGUAUGAUCAUUGCCUUAGAUAUCAUCAUGACUUUGCGCGAUUCUAUCAAUUGCUCGACAGUAAUUCGUUCACCCACCGUAAUACUUGUUAUCAUGAGAGAAGCCUCUAGUGAACGCUAUGGCCCCGGGGUCUACUUCACAUCGUAUUUUCAGCUCUACACUUUUACUUUGUUGCACUUUCCACCUUCAGAUCUCACCUUGCAAUUAACCGUGAAGGGAUUGACAACCCCUUCAUACCGUUGGGUGCAAGUUUGUUUGUUUUUGCGCAGGUACAUUGGUGACUUGUCUUGAUACUCCUACUGGAUUGAUACCUUGGUUCUCAAACUGAGGGAAAUACUUAUUGUUACUGUGUUGCAUCACCCUUUCCUCUUCAAGGGAAAAACCAACGCAAACUCAAGAGGUAGCACUCGACUGCAACGAUCCACCAUCGUUCGCGGGGUGUCUUGCCCCGCAUGACGUUGCCAUUACCUCUGAUCUCAUGGAGGUGAUGGUUGUUGGCACUAGCACCAGCUUAGGCCGCAGCAAGGCCGCAGUUGACCCCCCUCCGGGCCCUGCCGAUCCGCUUCAUGACACCCUUGUCGGGCUGACUACUCCCAUCGCCAUGACGGCGAACACAGCUACGGCAAGGGUUGAGUUCGAGGAGGCUCGCAAGCAACUCCUGGUAGAGGGCACCGCCCUUGCCACCGCGAAGCACCGGAUGGAGGCCGUGGAGCGCGAGUAUAACUCCGCUUACGGCUUCACCCCGGUUGCCGAUGGUCCCAGACGGCAUGGAGAGGUCCACGGCCGCGGACGGGUCAUCGCCAAAAUCCUAGGCGGCAAGCUGCCCAUCUACGACACUCCUGCGGCCAACAUGCGGGCUGCACAGGAGGCCCUCACAGAAAUGGGUGCUCUGGAGGGUCAGGAACAUGCUCGCCAAGAAAAUCUCGUCCCCAAGGGUCACCGCGACCCCAGCGGCCGUCAGCAAGCUCAGCAUUCUUCAGCCCCUCGUGCCUCUGGCCGAAGGGCUGAGGGAAGCCAAGACCGGCGUUCCCAGCGCCGGAGCGAGCCACGAGCAGUCUCUAGCCAGCGUCGUGAGGCGGUUGGAGAUGAAGGAGAUUCGGUCCAUGAAGUUCCCCCGCCCGAGCGUCGGGAAAGGGCUAACACUCCCAUGCCCCUGAUCCGGCCCGAGCUCGUGGCUCGAAUCGUCCCUCGCGUCCCUCGCAGCGAGAAUGAUGCUCGUCUCCGCAUCAACCUUCUGGCGCAGUCAGCCCUCCUGGAGGAGGAGGGUUCCAUUGGUCCGUCGUGCUUUGGCCCCCGAAUCCGAGGGGAGCCAUUUCCUACUAGCUUCACUCUCCCCCGCGACACUCCAAAAUACAACGGCUCCGCCAAGCCGGAAGACUGGCUGAUCGACUACACUACUGAAGUCGGCAUCGCCCGGGGCAACAAGCGCGCAGCCGUUCGUUACGUGCCACUCAUGUUGGUCGGCUCGGCAAGGACUUGGCUUAACAGCUUGCCAGCCGGCAGCGUCAACUCUUGGGUUGACUUUGAAGAGGCAUUCGUUCGUAACUUCACCGGCACUUACAAGCGCCCUGGCCGGCCUCGCGAGCUGGUCAUGUGCGUUCAGAAGCUUGACGAACCCCUUCGCGACUACGUCACGUGCUGGAUGGAGUUGCGCAACUCCUGCGAAGGAAGGCAUGAGGUACAAGCUAUUCAGUACUUCAUCGACGGUUGUCGAGCCGACCUCUUUGGCGGUUCUCAUGGCCAAGGCGGAUAAGUACGCCACUGCUGACUCCGCCAUGAGGAUCAAGAUCAGUGCAACGGACAAGACUGUCCAACCAGCGGCUAUAGCUAAGCCGGCUGGCGACAACCGAGGCGGGCAGAACAACAAGCGCAAAGGGGAUCAACUUGAUCCGUGACCUGGAAGCAACGAGGUGGCCAACAUGGAGGAAGAGCAGCUGGUUGCUCAAGCUGGCUGAUGACCCACAAGUAUAGGGGAUUUAUCGUAGUCCUUUCUAUAAGUAAGAGUGUCGAACCCAACGAGGAGCAGAAGGAUCUGACAAGUGGUUUUCAACAAGGUAAUAUCUGCAAGCACUGAAAUUAUCGGUAACAAGAAGUUGUGUUGUGAGAUGAUUCUUAGCAAGUAGCAAGUAACAAAAGUAACAACGGUGCAGCAAAGUGGCCCAAUCCCUUUUGUAGCAAGGGACAAGCCUGGACAAAGUCUCAUAGGAGGAAAAACGCUCCCGAGGACACACGGGAAUUUUUGUCAUGCUAGUUUUCAUCAUGUUCAUAUGAUUCGCGUUCGUUACUUUGAUAGUUUGAUAUGUGGGUGGACCGGUGCUUGGGUGCUGCCCUUACUUGGACAAACAUCCCACUUAUGAUUAACCCCUCUCGCAAGCAUCCGCAACUACAAAAGAAGAAUUAAGACAAAGUCUAACCAUAGCAUUAAACUAGUGGAUCCAAAUCAGCCCCUUACGAAGCAACGCAUAAACUAGGGUUUAAGCUUCUGUCACUCUAGCAACCCAUCAUCUACUUACUACUUCCCAAUGCCUUCCUCUAGGCCCAAAUAAUGGUGAAGUGUUAUGUAGUCGACGUUCACAUAACACCACUAGAGGAAAAACAACAUAGAACACAUAAAAAUAUCGAACGAAUACCAAAUUCACAUGACUACUUAUAGCAUGACUUAUCCCAUGUCCUCAGGAACAAAAGUAACUACUCACAAAGCAUAAUCAUAUUCAUGACCAGAGAGGUAAUGAGUAGCAUCAAGGAUCUGAUCAUAAACUCUUCCACCAAGUAAUCCAACUAGCAUCAACUACAAAGAGUAAUUAACACUACUAGCAACCUUACAAGUACCAAUCGGAGUCGCGAGACGGAGAUUGGUUACAAGUGAUGAACUAAGGUUUCGAGAUGAGAUGGUGCUGAUGAAGAUGUUGAUGGUGAUGAGUCCCCUCCGAUGAGAGGAGUGUUGGUGAUGACGAUGGCGAUGAUUUCCCCCUCUGGGAGGGAAGUUUCCCCGGCAGGAUCGUCCUGUCGGAGCUCUAGAUUGGUUCUGCUCAAGUUCCGCCUCGUGGCGGCGGUGGAUCCUCCGAAAAGCCUCCUCGUGAUUUUUUUUGGUCGAAACCCUUCCUCUAGCAAAAGGGGGAGCUAGAGGGCUAGCUGGGUGCCCACAAGCCCCCUAGGCACGGCCAGGGGGGUGGUCGCACCUAGCAGGCUUGUGGCCACCUGCUGGCGCCCCUCUGGCACUUCUUCGGCCCAGUAUUUUUUAUAAAUCCCGAAAAAAAUCCUCGUUGAUUUUCACGGCGUUUGGAGUUGCGCAGAAUAGGUAUCUCAAACUUGCUCCUUUUUCAGGCCAGAAUUCCAGCUGCCGGCAUUCUCCCUCUUCAUGUAAACCUUGCAAAAUAAGAGAGAAAAGGCAUAAGUAUUAUACCUUGAAGUGAAAUAACGGCCCAAAAAGCGAUAAAUAACAACAUGAAAGCAUGAUGCAAAAUGGACGUAUCACUGGCGCUCAGCGACAGCGGACCGACAAGAACGCGUGGCAGCCCGAGCUCACCUUCGAGUAGAUACUCGACGUGCCUUGCAAGAUGCAUACCGGGGCGAAGCUGGCCACCCACGCACUCCAGCAGUGCAACUUCUCAUAGCGCCUGACCCGGGGUGAGGGUGUGCCGGCUCCCCCGGGGGCGGCGCCUCCAGGUCCGGCUCCAUCUCAGCCUCCUCCCAAUGAUGGUCGUCUCCAUGACCAGUUCCCCGAGCAGGACGGGGCCUACGUCGUCUUCACAAGUGAAGGCGAUGACAAGCACAACCAGCAUCAACACCGGCAUGAGGUGAAUGCCACGGUCCCCUCGGUUCCCCAAUACAUGCAUUGGUCUGAAAAGCCAAUUACAUGGAGUGGGGCGGACCAUCUUGCGGUGAUGCCAAACCACGGCACAUACGCGCUCGUCCUCGACCCCACCCUCGCUUCCAAGAGACUCACCUGCUGGUUCUCACGGGUGUUGGUCGAUGGCGGCAGCAGCAUCAACAUCCUCUACCAAGACACUCUGCUCAAGCUCGGGCUGAAGGAGAAGGACCUGCAGCCGACCAGGACUGUCUUCCACGACAUGGUUCCGGGGCAGUCCUGCUCGCCGAUCGGCAAAAUCCAGCUGGAUGUCCUCUUCGGUGACUGAUACGUCUCCAACGUAUCUAUAAUUUUUUAUGGUUUCAUGCUAUUAUCUUGUCAAACUUUGGAUGUUUUGCAUGCCUUUUAUUUUAUUUUAUGGGACUAACUUAUUAAUCCAGUGCCAAGUGCCAGUUCCUAUUUUUCCAUGUUUUUGACCCCUUUCACAGGAGAUUUUGAAACGGAGUCCAAACGGAAGAAAAUCCCCGAAAAGAUUUUUUUCUGGAAUGGAAGAAGAUCGGAGAGCUUGGGGGCCAAGCCAGAAGAGCCCCAAGGGCCCCACAAGCCCCCACCCCGCGGCCAGGGGGCUGCGCCAUGCAGGCUUGUGGCCCCCUGGAGGUCCCCUGACCUAGAUCUUGCACCUAUAAAUUCCCAAAUAUUUCCAAAAAAAAUGAGGGGAGCAUCGUAAUCACUUUUCCGCCGCCGCAAGCUUAUGUCUCCACAAGAUCCCAUCUGGGCACGUCCUGGUGCCCUGCCGGAGGGGGGAUUCAGACACGAAAGGCUUCUCCAUCAACACCAUGACCUCUCCGAUGAUGCAUGAGUAGUUCACCAUAGACCUACGAGUCCAUAGCUAGUAACUAGAUGACUUCUUCUCUCUCUUGGAUCUUCAAUACAAAGUUCUCCAUGAUCUUUAUGGAGAUCUAUUCGAUGUAAUCUUAUUUUGCGGUGUGUUUGUCGAGAUCCAAUGAAUUGUGGAUUUAUGAUCAGAUUAUCUAUGAAUCUUAUUUGAGUUUCUUCUGAUCUCUCUUAUGCAUGAUUUCAUAUCCUUGUAAUUCUCUUCGAGUUGUGGGUUUUGUCUGGCCAACUAGAUCUAUGAUUCUUGCAAUGGGAGAAGUGCUUGGUUUUGGGUUCAUACCGUGCGGUGACCUCACCUAGUGACAGAAGGGGUAGCGAGGCACGUAUCGUGUUGUUGCCAUCAAGGGUAAAAAUAUGGGGUUUUCAUCAUUGGUUUGAGAUUAUCCCUCUACAUCAUGUCAUCUUGCUUAAAGCGUUACUCUGUUCGUCAUGAACUCAGUACACUAGAUGCAUGCUGGAUAGCGGUCGAUGUGUGGAGUAAUAGUAGUAGAUGCAGAAAAUAUUGUGAUGGGGUUAUAGUCCUAGGGUAGGGUCAUAAGCCUACCUUAUAGGUCCUACCUAAGGACCACCCUUCAUAAGGGACAAGGCCCUUUGCCAGCUCCGACUGAACUAAGGAAUUCCCAUCAUCCAGUCGGUAACAGACAUCCGACCAUCCAGUCGAAGGCGAGCAUGAAGCUUGUUUGUGUUUGCGCAGGUACUCUCGACUUGAUGAGACCCUCCUUCUGGAUCGGUACCUUGGUUCUCAAACUGAGGGAAAUACUUACUACUCCUGUGCUGCAUCACCCUUUCCUCUUCAAGGGAAAAACCAACGCAAGCCCAAUCUCCGUCAACGUGUCAAUUUCUGGCGCUGUUGUUUGAGAAGUAGGAGAAGGAUUUCUGGCGCCGUUGCCGGGGAGGAAGAUCAAGUCAAUAACUCAUCCAAGUAAGUGUCACAAACUCAUCUCUUGCAUUUACUUUGUUUGCAGUUGCCUCUCGUUUUCAUCUCCCCCACUUCACCAAUUUGCCUUUUUCGUUCGCUUUUUUGUUCGCCCUUUUUCUCGCCCGCUUUUUAUUUGCUUGUGUGCUUGCUUGCUUGCUGAAGUCACCAUGAACGAAAACACCAAACUUUGUGACUUCUCGAAUACUAAUAAUCAUGGUUUUAUUAGUACUCUGAUUGCUCCCGCCACUAGUGCGGAGUCAUACAAAAUCAAUGCCGCUUUGCUGAAUCUUGUUAUGAAAGAGCAAUUCUCUGGCCUUCCUAGUGAAGAUGCCGCAUCCCAUCUCAAUACCUUCAUUGAGCUUUGCGAUAUGCAAAAGAAAAAAGAUGUGGAUAAUGACGUGAUUAAAUAGAAGCUUUUUCCCUUCUCGUUGCGAGAUCGCGCAAAAACUUGGUUUUCUUCUUUGCCCAAAAAUAGUAUCGAUUCUUGGGAUAAGUGCAAAGAUGCUUAUAUAUCCAAGUAUUUUCCGCCGGCUAAGAUCAUCUCUCUCCGUAAUGAUAUCAUGAAUUUCAAGCAACAUGAUUAUGAGCAUGUUGCACAACCUUGGGAGAGAAUGAAAUUAAUGAUUAGAAAUUGUCCCACUCAUGGCUUGAGCCUUUGGAUGUUUAUUCAAAUCUUUUACGCUGGCUUGAAUUUUGAUUCUAGAAAUAUCUUGGACUCCGCCUCAGGUGGAACGUUCAUGGUAAUCACAUUAGGAGAAGCCACAAAGCUCUUAGACAACAUCAUGACAAACUACUCUCAAUGGCACACUGAAAGGUCACCGACUAGUAAGAAGGUACACGCUAUAGAAGAAAUUAACUCGUUGAGUGCUAAGAUGGAUGAGUUAAUGAAUUUGGUUGCUAGUAGAAGUGUUCCUUUGGAUCCUAAUGAUAUGCCUUUGUCUUCUUUGAUUGAGAGUAGCAACGCUAGCUUGGACGUUAAUUUUGUUGGUAGGAAUAACUUUGGCAACAACAAUGCUUUUAGAGGAAACUAUGUUCCUAGGCCUUUUCCAAGUAACUCCUCUAAUAAUUUUGGCAACUCCUACAACAAUACUCAUGGAAAUUACAAUAGAUUACCCUCUAAUCUAGAGAGUAAUAUCAAAGAGUUCAUCAACUCUCAAAAGAUUUUCAAUGCAUCCAUAGAGGAAAAACUACUCAAAAUUGACGAUUUCGCUAAGAGCGUUGAUAGGAUUUCUUGUGAUGUUGAUGCUUUGAAAGUUAGAUGUGCUCCUCCCAAAAUAAACAUGGAUGAAACUUUGAAAUCUAUGUGUGUUUCCAUGAUUGAGAGCCAAGAAAGAACCGCCCAAAUUCGUGCUAGACAUGAAUGGUUUAAAAAGGCGUGUUCUCGUGAUGAGAAUCACGAAGAUCUUAAAGUGCUUGGUGUGACUCCCAUUGAAUCUUUGUUUUCUUGUGUCAAACCUAAUGAUUAUGGGGCUGGAUAUGAAUCCACUUGGGUUGAAAAGUUCCCCAAUGAUUUGGAGUCCAUCUAUCUUGAUGCUAAAAGCAUUAAAAGUGGACUAGAAGACGUUAAAACUUUGAGUAGUAAUGAAAUUACUACCGUGGAUUUCAAGGAAUUCAAUUAUGAUAGUUGCUCCUUGAUUGAAUGCAUUUCUUUGAUGCAAUCCAUGUUGAACUCUCCACACGCUUAUAGCCAAAACAAAGCCUUUGCCGAUCAUAUCGUCGAAGCUAUGAUGAAAGAUCUUGAAGAGAAACUUGAAUUGGAAGUCUCUAUCCCUAGAAAGCUUCAUGAUGAGUGGGAACCUACCAUCGAAAUCAAAAUAAAAAACUAUGAGUGCAAUGCUUUGUGUGAUUUGGGUGCUAGUGUUUCUGCGAUUCCAAAGUCUUUAUGUGAUGUUCUGGGUUUUAAUGAGAUUGAAGAGUGUUCUCUUAAUUUGCAUCUUGCUGAUUCUACUGUCAAGAAACCCAUGGUAAGGAUCAAUGAUGUUCUUAUUAUUGCAAAUAUGAACUAUGUACCCGUGGAUUUCAUUGUGCUUGACAUUGAUUGCAAUCCUACAUGCCCUAUUAUUCUUGAUAGACCUUUCCUAAGGACUAUUGGUGCUAUCAUCGAUAUGAAGGAAGGGAAUAUUAGAUUUCAAUUUACUUUAAGGAAGGGCAUGGAACACUUUCCUAGAAAGAAAAUAAGAUUGCCUUAUGAAUCCAUGAUGAGGGCCACUUAUGGUUUGAGCACCAAAGACGACGAUACGUGAUUCUAUCGCUUCUAUGCCUAGCUAAGGGCGUUAAACAAUAGCGCUUGGUGGGAGGCAACCCAAUGAAUUUAUCUUUUUAUUUUUGUUUUUUUGCGUCCAAACUUUCAUAAUUCUGUUGUGAUUGUGUUUUUUGUGUUUGAGCCAAGCAAAGCCUUUAUGAUUAGUCUUGGUAAUGGUUGUUUGAUCCUGCUGGAAAAAGACAGAAACUUUUUGCUCACAAGAUGAUUUUUCAUUUUUAUUCAGAAAGAGCUUUUGAGUUGAUUCGUUUUUCUGCUGAUUGAUAUGCUUUUUCCCCAGACCGUCGUAAUUUUUCAGAUUUUUUGAGGUACCAGAAGUAUUCGAAGUAUACAGAUUGCUACAGACCGGUCUGUUUUUGACAGAUUCUGUUUUUUGUUGAGUUGGUUGCUUAUUUUGAUGAAACUAUGUUUAGUAUCGGGGGGUAGUAGCCAUGGAAUAGUGAGAAUCCAGUAGCCCAUCAUCAAUAUAUAUGGAAUUCAAGUUUGCUACAAUACCAAAAGAAGUGGUAGUUUGUUUUCUUGUACUAAUGUUAUCACAAGUUUCUGUUUAAGUUUUGUGUUGUGAAGUUUUCAAGUUUUGGGUGAUGUUCUCAUGGACUAAGAGAUAAGGAGUGAAAAUAGCUCAAGCUUGGGGAUGCCCAAGGCACCCCAAGCCAAAUUCAAGGACACCAAAAAGCCUAAGCUUGGGGAUGCCCCGGGAAGGCAUCCCCUCUUUCGUCUUCAAUCCAUCGGUAACAUUUCUUGGGGCUAUAUUUUUAUUCACCACAUGAUAUGUGUUUUGCUUGGAGCGUCUUGUAUCUUAGGAGUCUUUUCUUUUUGUUGUAUCACAAUCAUCCUUGCUGCACACCUUUUUGAGAGAGAGAGACAUGCACUCAUCGUGAUUUUGCUAGAAUGCUCGUAGUGCUUCACUUAUAUCUUUUGAGCUAGAUACUUUUGCUCAUAGUGCUUCACUUAUAUAUUUUUGAGCUAGAUACUUUUGCUCUAGUGCUUCACUUAUAUCCUUUGAGCUAGAUACCUUUUGCUCUUGUGAUUCACUUAUAUCUUUAAGAGCACGACGGUGCGUGAUUUGUUAGAUGGCUUAUGCUAUGAAAGUAGUCCCAUGUGCUAGGUACCCAAAGAGGAUGCAAAAACCUCCAUCUUCAUGUGCAUUGAGUAGAAAGAAAAUUUUUGAUUCCUCUCAAUUAGUUUUGAGACAUGGAUUCGGAAAUAUUAAAAUCUUAUGUUAGUAGGGUGUUGUGAAUCUAGAAAUACUUGUGUUGAAGUUAGUGAUUCCGGUAGCAUGCACGUAUGGUGAACCCCUAUGUUAGGAAGUCGGAGCAUAAUUGAUCUAUUGAUUUUCAUCCUUUGUGUUGAGGUCGGGAUCGCGCGAUGGUUUACACCUACCAACCCUUCCCUCGGAGUAUGCAUUAGCACUUUGUUUUGAUUACUAAUAAAAACUUUCAUAACAAGUAUGUGAGUUAUUUAUGACUAAUGUUGAGUCCAUGGCAUAGAUGCACUUUCACCUUCCACCUUUGCUAGCCUCUCUAGUGCCACACAAUUCUUGCCGGUGCACAAACCCACCAAAUUCCUUCCUCAAAACAGCCACCAUACCUACCUACUAUGGCAUUUUCAUAGCCAUUCCGAGAUAUAUUGCCAUGCAACUACCACCAUUUUGUCUCAUGACUUGUGUCGUCACUCUCAUAUUGCCAUUGCAUGAUCAUGCACAUCCUGGUACACUGCCGGAGGCAUUUCCUAUGGAGUCAUCAUCAUUGUGAUCUUUGAGCUUUGAGUAACUAAAAGUGUGAUGAUCAUCAUUAUUAGAGCAUUGUCCCAUGUGAGGAAAUAAAAAAAGAGGCCAAAGAGCCCAAAAAAAGAGGCCUAAGAGCCCAAAUAAAAAAAGAGAAAUGAGAGAAAAAGAGAGAAGGGACAAUGCUACUAUCUUUUUCCACACUUGUGAUUCAUAUUAGCACCAUGUUCUUCAUGAUUGAGAGCUUCUUGCUUUGUCACUACCAUAUGCUAGUGGGAAUCUUUUAUAUAACUUGGCUUGUAUAUUCCAAUGAUGGGCUUCCUCAAAAUUGCCCUAGGUCUUCAUGAGCAAGCAAGUUGGAUGCACACCCACUAGUUUUCCUUUUGAGCUUCCACAUACUUAUAGCUCUAGUGCAUCUCUUGUAUGACAAUCCCUACUCAUUCACAUUGAUAUCUAUUAAUGGGCAUAUCCAUAGCCUUUUGAUAAGCCGAGUCAAUGUGACCAUCUCCUCCUUUUUUGUCUCACAACCACCACCACACUCUAUUCCACCUAUAGUGCUAUAUCCAUGGCUCGCGCUCAUGUAUUGCGUGAUAGUUAUAAAAAGUUUCAGAAAGUAAGAGUGUGAAAACAAUUACUUGGCCAAUUCCGGGGUUGUGCAUGAUUUACAUUAGUUGUGUGAGGAUGAUGGAGCAUAGCCAGACUAUAUGAUUUUGUAGGGAUAACUUUCUUUGGCCUUGUUAUUUUCAAAGUUCACGAUUACUUUGCUAGUUUGCUUGAAGUAUUACUAUUUUCAUGUCAAUAGAAAACUAUUGUUUUGAAUCUUACGGAUCUGAACAUUCAUGCCACGUGAAAGAAGUUGCAAAGGACAACUAUGCUAGGUAGCAUUCCACAUCAAAAAUUCAUUCUUUAUCACUUCCCUACUCGAGGACGAGCAGGAGUUAAGCUUGGGGAUGCUUGAUACGUCUCCAACGUAUCUAUAAUUUUUGAUGGUUUCAUGCUAUUAUCUUGUCAAACUUUGGAUGUUUUGCAUGCCUUUUAUUUAUUUUCUGGCACUAAGUUAUUAAUUCAGUGCCAAGUGCCAGUUCCUGUUUUUUCCAUGUUUUUUACCCCUUUUAGAGGAGAUUUUGAAACGGAGUCCAAACGGAAGAAAAUCCCUGAAAAGGUUUUUUUUGGAACGGAAGAAGAUCGGAGAUCUUGGGGGCCAAGCCAGAAGAGCCCCAGGGGCCCCACAAGCCCCCACCCCGCGGCCAGGGGGCUGCGCCAUGCAGGCUUGUGGCCCCCUGGAGGUCCCCUGACCUAGAUCUUGCACCUAUAAAUUCCCAAAUAUUUCCAAAAAAAAUGAGGGGAGCAUCGUAAUCACUUUUCCGCCGCCGCAAGCUUAUGUCUCCACAAGAUCCCAUCUGGGGCACGUCCUGGUGCCCUGCCGGAGGGGGGAUUUGGACACAGAAGGCUUCUCCAUCAACACCAUGACCUCUCCGAUGAUGCGUGAGUAGUUCACCAUAGACCUACGGGUCCAUAGCUAGUAACUAGAUGGCUUCUUCUCUCUCUUGGAUCUUCAAUACAAAGUUCUCCAUGAUCUUCAUGGAGAUCUAUCCAAUGUAAUCUUCUUUUGCGGUGUGUUUGUCGAGAUCCGAUGAAUUGUGGAUUUAUGAUCAGAUUAUCUAUGAAUCUUAUUUGAGUUUCUUCUGAUCUCUCUUAUGCAUGAUUUCAUAUCCUUGUAAUUCUCUUCGAGUUGUGGGUUUUGUCUGGCCAACUAGAUCUAUGAUUCUUGCAAUGGGAGAAGUGCUUGGUUUUGGGUUCAUACCGUGUGGUGACCUCACCUAGUGAUAGAAGGGGUAGUGAGGCACAUAUCGUGUUGUUGCCAUCAAGGGUAAAAAUAUGGGGUUUUCAUCAUUGAUUUGAGAUUAUCCCUCUACAUCAUGUCAUCUUGCUUAAAGCGUUACUCUGUUCGUCUUGAACUCAAUACACUAGAUGCAUGCUGGAUAGCGGUCGAUGUGUGGAGUAAUAGUAAUAGAUGCAGAAAGUAUCGGUCUACUUGUCUCGAACGUGAUGCCUAUAUGCUAGAUCAUUGCCUUAGAUAUCAUCAUGACUUUGCGCGGUUCUAUCAAUUGCUCGACAGUAAUUUGUUCACCCACCGUAAUAUUUGCUAUUUUGAGAGAAGCCUCUAGUGAACACUAUGGCCCCUAGGGUCUACUCCACACCAUAUUUUCAGCCUUACACUUUUUACUUCAUUGCACUUUCCGCAUUCAGAUCUCACUUUCCAAACGAUCUUGAAGGGAUUGACAACCCCUUGAAGCGUUGGGUGCAAGCUUGUUUGUGUUUGCGCAGGUACUCUGGACUUGACGAGACCCUCCUUCUGGAUCGAUACCUUGGUUCUCAAACUGAGAGAAAUACUUACUGCUCUUGUGAUGCAUCACCUUUCCUCUUCAAGGGAAAAACCAACGCAAGCCCAAUCUCCGUCAACGUGUCAAUUUCUGGCGCUGUUGUUUGAGAAGCAGCAGCGACAAGGCACACUUCCGUCGCGAGCCGGUCUGGUUCAAGGUGGUGGACCUCAAUAGCCCAUACCAUGCAUUCCUGGGCAGGCCGACAUUGGCCAAAUUCAUGGCGAUCCCCUAUUACGCCUAUCUCAAGAUGAAGAUGCCGGGUCCCAAGGGCAUCAUCACGGUUGCCGGCGACUACAAGAAGUCGCUCGAAUGUUCGCGCGACAGCAGCCGGCUGGCCGAGGCACUGGUGAUUGCCAAGGAGAAGAGGCAGCUUGACCGGCUCGUGGAUCAGGCUACCGAGUAGCCGAAAAUGCCCACUCAUCCGUCCCAGUCGGCCAGCGAGGCCUCGUUCAAGCCGUCUAAGGAGACAAAGCAAGUGCCGCUCGACCCGGCCAACCCCAAGCAGUGUGUCACCAUCGGCGCCAACCUCAACCCCAAAUAGGAAGGCGAGUUUGUCGACUUCCUCCGUGAGAAUCGAGACAUCUUCGCAUGGUCCCCAAAGGACAUGUCGGGAGUCCCGAGGAAGUACGCUGAGCACAAGAUUCAUGUGCAGCCAGACGCAAAGCCGGUCAAGCAACCUUUGCGCCGCUUCGUUGAGGGGAAGCGAUGCAUAAUUGUAGAAGAGAUCGCCCGGCUGCUCGCAGCCGGCUUCAUUAUGGAAGUUUUCCGCUCGGACUAGCUGGUCAACCCAGUCCUGGUGCUGAAGAAGAACAAGACAUGGCGCAUGUGUAUAGAUUACACAAGUCUAAAUAAGGCAUGCCCGAAAGACCCUUCUGCCCUGCCACGGAUAGAUCAAGUGAUCGACUCCACAGCCGGCUGCGAAUUGUUGUCCUUUCUGGACGCUUAUUCUGGCUACCACCAGAUCAAGCUGGACCCGGCCGACCGGCUCAAGACCUCCUUCGUCACACCUUUUGGAGCCUACUGCUACACGAUGAUGACGUUCGGUCUGAAGAACGCCGACGCAACCUUCCAGUGCUCAUGCAACAAUGCCUCCUACCGCAAAUCGGCAGGAACAUUCACGUCUACGUCAACAACAUCAUCAUCAAGACCAAGCAGCAUUUCAGUUUCCUUGAUGAUCUGAGGGAGACCUUUGCCAACUUGCGUGAGUACAAGAUCCGACUCAAUCCGGAGAAGUGCGUCUUUGGAGUUCCAGUCGGCAAGCUCAUGGGUUUCUUCGUGUCAAGAUCAGAACCAUCAAGCGCAUGGCCAAGCUGGCUCAACUCCUCGACAUUCAAAAGUUUGCCGGCUGCCUCGCAUCCCUCAACCGGUUCGUCAGCCGGCUGGGCGAGAAGGCGCUACCAAUCUAUCAACUGAUGAAGAAGACAACCAAAUUCGAGUGGAAUGAUCAAGCGGACGAAGCUUUCCGCGACCUCAGGCGCGUAAUCUCCAGCACACUAAUCUUGGCCGCGUCGGCAGAGAGGGAGCCCAUCCUCAUCUACAUCGCAACAACCACACGCGUGGUUAGUGUGGUCUUGGUAGUGGAGCGCAAGGAGGAGGGCAAGGUGCUGCUGAUUCAGCACCCUAUCCACUAUCUAAGUGAGGUCUUGUCCGCCUCCAAGCAAAACUACCCCCACUAUCAAAAGAUGUGCUAUGGCGUGUACUUUGCCACCAAGAAGCUGAAGCAAUACUUCUAGGAGCAUGCCAUCAUGAUGGUGAGCACGACUCCACUUUCAGAAAUCAUGGGCAACCGUGAUGCCAUGGGCCGGAUCGCCAAGUGGUCCAUCGCCAUAGCCGACCACGACAUCCGUUGCGAGCCGCGCACCGCCAUCAAGUCUCAGGUGGUGGCCGACUUCCUCGUCGACUGGGCCGAGACCCAAUUCCUGCCGCCGCCUCCCGACUCCACACAUUGGCGGAUGCACUUCGAUGGCUCAAAGAUGCGAACCGGUCUGUGAGCCGGCAUCGUCUUGACGUCUACGAAAGGGGACCAACUCAAGUAUGCUCUCCAGAUACACUUCGCCGCCACCAACAACGUCGCUGAGUACGAGGCGCUCGCACACGGCCUCCGGCUUGCCAGAGAAAUCAGCAUCCGGCGGAUCCUUUGCUUCGGCAACUCUGAUCUUGUGGUGCAGCAAGUCUCUGGCGAGUGGGAUGCCACGGAUGCCAACCUGGCCAGCUACCAGCAGCUGAGUGGCCCCUUCGAGGGCUGCGAGUUCCAUCAUGUCCCCCGAGCGGACAACGAGGCGGCUGAUACAUUGGCAAAAAUCAGCUCCAGAAGGCAAGCAAUCCCGACCGGCGUCUCCCUCGAGCAGCUGCACAAGCCCUCCAUCAAGCCGUCUCCGAAGUCGGCAUCAAUCUUCGUGCAUGUGGACCCGUUCGUCCCAAUGACUCUGGGCCCGGAGAAACCCCCGGAAUCGUCAACUCCGCCGGCUAUGCUCUCUCUGCGGCUCCGGCAAUCUUGUUGGCUACAUCUGCUUCGCCGGCUGCGCCAAACCUCAAACCAUGUCGUCUCAACACCUAGUGGGUGGCCUUCAUGGAGGUUGAUGGCAUGCCAGCUGCCACGACGACACGAGAGACAAAAGGUCUCGAACCCAGGACCACAAUGACAAACUCAGGGGCUUCAGAUGCCCCUGACCUUCAGGCCGAGCCGGAGCCGGCUCCCGUGUCGGCUCCCUCAUGGGCACACCCCAUCCUGGCCUUCCUUCUUUCCGGCGACCUUCCUCAAGACGAGGUGGAGGCGCGACAGAUCCAACGACGAUCUCCCGCGUAUGCCAUCAUCAACGGCGAGCUGAUUCGACAUAGAGUAACCGGUGUGUGAUACAUCCAAAACGUAUCUAUAGUUUUUGAUGGUUUCAUGCUAUUUUUAUGCUUUUGAAAUUUUUUAUAUAUUAAGUUUAUGAUUUAUUUGGACUAACCUUGUUGGAGUCGAAUUGGGACUUUUCGGAAAUCUGUGUGAAAACUCUUUUUAAAGAUUGCCACGUUACGGGUCGAAUAUGGCCUCAAACGGAAAUCUCUCAGAAGACAAAAGUGUGGGGACUUGUUUUUUGAUAAUUAUAGACAUAAUUCGGCUCAUUUGGAGUUCGGACGCUCCAGGAAAGCCCGUUUUACUGGAGGACAAAUAUUUGAUUAUGGGAAUCGGUGACGUGAUUGAGUUCAACUCUGACCAUAUUUGAUGGAUUCGACCAAACCACGACUUUGGUAUCUCAUUAGGGCUGAGAGGGGUCCCUAAGAAGGUUCUAUAGGUGCCCAAGAUCCCUUGGGUCAAAGGGGCAUCCAUUGGAGGGCUAAGGAUGAUCGUCCCAGCUCAUAUAAGGAGAGGAAACCCUGAUUUCUCGACAACCACCAAAAGCCACGAAUUUUGCCUCCCCCAUGGCCUCAUAUCCAUGGGGGAGGGCUCAUCUACAGCACCAAGAAUCCAUGGAGGAAGGGGGCUAAGGUGUGGCGCUCCCCCAUGAUGCCCGGCCGGCGCAGGAGGAGCCCCCUGCGCCGCCGAUGGCCGCCGGCGCCGCCCUGCACCUCACGUGUUGUCCCUUCUCCAUCCUCUCCACCAUGAUGCCGCCUUCACUAACACCUGCAACAUCAUAUCCUCCAUAGAUAUAGUGGUCCACUCUUCCACAAAUCUCUGUAAUCCCCUAUGUAAACAUGGUGUUUGAUGUUAUAAAUUAUCUGCAGAUGGCCUAUUGAAUUUAUGCCAUGUUUGUGUAGUUCCCUUUUGUCAUAUUAUUGAUUGGUGAAUCUCCAUGGAUGGUUUGAGAUAUAUAUUGAAUUUGUUAUAGUCCUAUGGUGCCCAUCAUAUGUUUAUGCGUGCAUGAAUCACAUCAUAGGGUUUGUAGUAUGUGGAGAAAGCUAGAGGGUGGGCUGCUUGAGUGACAGAAACAUGAGCCUCAAUCUAGAGAUCAAAGCAUAUGGGAUAAAGAGGACCUUUUGAUCUUAAUGUUAUGGUUGGAUAUUUUUACCUUAAUGUAUAUUCUAGUAUUUAUGGAUGUUUUCUAGAGUUCCAAUCAUAAGUACUUGCAAUCACUGGAUAGUGAGAGCUUGUUAGGUUUACCUCUCCCACAUAAAAGAGGAAUAUCAACCUUGUAUUUGACUAUUUGAUCAUGGACAAUUCCACCACAUUAACCACCACUUUUCCGCACUCAUGGUACUGUUAGUUUAUGGUUACUUAGUGUAUUUUAUCGCUGCAGCACUAACAUUUACUUUCUUGUAUUUAUUAUCUUGCAAAUAUUUCUCUCAUACCUGUAUUGUCACUAUAGUUAUAUUCCCCAGAUGAAGUAAACGUUUAGUGUUCGUAGAGUUGUAUCAGUGGUUGAUAGAACUUGAGAGAAUAUUUAUCCUACCUUUAGCUCCUCGUUGGAUUCGACACUCUUACUUAUCGAAAGGGCUACACACGAUCCCCUAUACUUGUGGGAUAUCAAGACAUUUUCUGACGCCGUUGCCGGGGAGCAAUAGCGUGGGGUGAAUGUUCUUGUGUGCACUUGUUUGCUUUGUAUCUAAGUAGUUUUUCUUUCAAUUUUAAGUUUUUAUCUAUCUUUAUAAUUAUAGGGAAUGAGAAUACAAAAAAAAUAGUUGUACUUGUUAUCCAAAAACAUUUUUAAAAAGGAAAGUGAUUGGAAAGAUGAGUAAUGGUUAAGUGGGGGUCGACCUUGAACACUUGUGUUCAUGCCUAUGAAACCAAAACAAUUUUUUCCAUGGAAGCUUUUCAGUUAAAAACUUGUAUAUACUUUUUAUAUAUUGUACAUAUUCCUCUGUACCAUGAAAAUAAAAUGUAUAGAUAACUUCUAGUUUGUUUAUGAUGCAAGUUUGCCACAUUGCUGCCUAGAAACAUAUUUCCGUGCUCCACCGUAGAAAAUUUGAAAAAUCACCAGAACGUGAUCUUGAUCUGAAAUUUCUUGAGCGCAAAGUACUAUUUAUUAUGUUACUUUAAUUAGUUUUUAAUUGUAUUAUUUGAGGUGCGUAGAUAGGUCUAAUAAUUCGAUCUUUACUGACUGUUCUGUUUAAACAGAUUUCCUAUGCUUCACUGUAAAAAAUCGUGAUAAAUCUCAGAAUAGUAUUUUGAUCUGAAAUGUUUUGUGCAUAAACCUGAGAUUAUGAUUUGUCUUUCAUUAUUUUUGAGUUUUUCUAUUUGAGCUACCUAACUAUCUCGUUGAGUGUCGUCUUUACAGAGUGUUCAGUUUUGACAGAUUUCUUAGUUUAUUCAAUAUUGUACUUGGCGUUAUUAGUUUCAUUAGUUUUUCGACGAACAACGGAAAUCAUGAACACCUUAGUAUAUAUAGUGUCUAAUGUUGAGUAAAUAUUAUCAAACUUGUCAAUUUUUGAACAUGAGUGGAUUUUAUUUAAUGAGUAGUAACCCUACUAAUGAGUUUUUGUCAAGUUUUAUGUGAAUGUAGCAUUUAAGAUCCAAUGGAGAUGGUGAUACGAGAUGAAUGAGAAGAGAAAAGCUCAAUCUUGGGGACUCCCAAGUGCACCUCAAUGAAGUAUUCAAGAAUAUUCAAUCAUCAAAGCUUGGGGAUGCCCAAGGUAUCCCUCCUUUUUCCAUGUCUAGCUAAAAGGCGUUAAAGAAAAGCGCUUGUGGGAGGCAACCCACUUUGUUUUCCUUAUGUUUUCAUGUUGUUUUCUUCUAGUUCCUUUUGUUUUCUUUGAGUCUUGGAAGUUGUUACCUAUGUAUCAACCUCUCCUUAUUAUUUUUAUUUCAUUUUGUGCCAAGUUUUAGCCUCCGAUUGCAAGAAAGUUUAAAAGUUGUGACAUGUUGUCCAGAAACAGAUUAUGUCUGCUUGACGGAACAAUUCGCCAAAGAUCAUAUUUUUGAUCUGAAUUGUUUUGAAAGUAUGAUGUAUAUAAUUGACUUUCUGGCAUUUGUUCUGAGUUUUUUGAUUUGAGUUGCAGAAGUGCCCUGAUUUGUUUUACUACAUGGUGGUAUGUUUUCCCAGACUCUGUCUUGUUUUGUGUUUUCAUUGUUUUACAAAUCUUAAGCUUGCUUUUUCUUUGCAAAACCUUUUUGGAAAUCUUGAGAAACAUUAGCUCUUCCUGAAAAUAUUUAUUUCCAGUAGAGAAUAAAUUAUUUUAUCAUGGGCACUAACCACUCUAAUCAGCUUAUGAUGAGUUUCGUAAGAAGGGAGUUUUCAAGUAUGUGAUGGAAGAUGAUGAAAGAAGAUCGAGGAGUGUCAAGAUCUCAAGCUUGGGGAUGCCCCCAUGCACCCCCAAGAAAUAUUCAAGGAGACUCAAGCGUAUAAGCUUGGGGAUGCCCCCGUCCAUCCCCUUCUCCAUCAACAAUCAUCAGUUCGUCCUUCUCCAUGCUAUAUUUUUAUCACUUCAUAUGUUAUGUGCNNNNNNNNNNNNNNNNNNNNNNNNNNNNNNNNNNNNNNNNNNNNNNNNNNNNNNNNNNNNNNNNNNNNNNNNNNNNNNNNNNNNNNNNNNNNNNNNNNNNCUAUCCAGCUGCGAGGCCGAGUACAUAGCGGCCUCCACCGCCUGCACUCAGGCGCUCUGGCUCGCUCGACCUCGCAGCUGGACAGGGCCGCCACCUGUUGCUCUCAGGCGCUCUGGCUCGCUCGACCACCAGCUGGACAGGUGAUCUCCUUGUCUGAGACACCAGAACGGUGCAGCUCCUGGUGGACAGCAAGUCCGCCCUGGCCCUGGCAAAGAACCCGUUUUCCACGAACGGAGCAAGCACAUCCGACUGAGGUAUCACUUCAUCCGAAGCUGUUUGGAUGAAGGGAGCAUCGAGGCGAGCUACAUCAACACCACGGACCAGCUCGCAGACCUGCUUACCAAGCCUCUUGGGAGGAUCAAGUUCGUCGAACUCUGCUCCAGGAUCGGGAUGAUUCGACUCUCCCACAAGACGACGUAAGACUUAGGGGGAGAAUGAUGGAUAAGUCUCAGCACAUGGUCCUUUGUGGGGCUGCAACACAUGGUCCUUGUGGCUGUUAGGAUAGAAUCCUUGACAACCAAGGACUGACAGUUAGGAUAGCAUCUUAGACUAGCAUCUUGGCAUAUGCUUGGCUGUCUAGCAGCCUAUAAAUAUGUAUCCCCAACCCCUCAGGUUGGUAUGGCAUUGUGUGAGAAAUAAACCAACGAAAAUUGUGCCAACUCUCCUAGUGUCAUCUACAACUAUCAAUGCUCAGGCUGAAAGGUCUAACAGAGACCGAUGCAUCUGGCGUCGCGGGUGAAGCUAUUGUAGGACGCCCAGCUCUGUGGCGUGGUGGAGCAGACGACCAAGCGUGUCGACCAUGAGCACGAAGAGCUGGGGUGAUAGCGGAUCACCUUGGCGAAACCCACACUUGUGCCAUACUGCUGGGCCUGCCUCUCCGUUAACGAGCGCUGGGCCUGCCUCUCCGUUAACGAGCACCUGGUGCUAGCGGGGGAGAAUAGGAUGGCCAACCAAUCAAGGAACCUGGUGCCAAAGUUGUACUGGCGGAGGGCAUCAAACAUGAAACGCCACCUGACGGAGUCCAGGGCGUAGGCUAGGUUCAGCUUCAGUAGUACGCGCGGGGCGUCGAGCUGAUGCAACAGGCGAGCAGACUGUCACACGAGGAUGAAGUUGCGAAGCGACAAGAUCUUGGCAAAUAUCUUGGCCACCAAGUGUAUGAGGCUUAUGGGCCUGAAGUCGCCAAGGGCCUGGGCGUACGCGCGCUUGGGGAGCAGGGUGAGUAGCGCCUAGUUAAGGCAGCUGGAUCCAUGCCCUCACAGCUUGUAUAGCCGGUGGAGGACGUCGAUGAAAUCCUGACGGGCGAUGGGCUAGCACGCGCCUAGGAACUCGGCGGGGAAGCUAUCGGGGCCAGGGGCCUUGUGUGCGGGGAGUCUUUUGAUCGCCUGCCAAAUUUUCCCGGCGUCGAAGGGAGCAUCCAGGUCCUCUAGGCAGGAAGGAGUGAUGAGCUUGGAGAGGUCAAGGGCCCAAUCGCGUGGCGCAUCCUAGCCCAGGAGCUAGUCGAAGUGCGCGUAGGACGCGGCUGUGAAUCCUGUUCUUUUGAUGCUUGUAGGUGCACUGCCGAUGGAAGAACGACGUGUUGGCAUCGCCGUCCUCGAGGUUUGCGAGGCGGGCGCGUUGCCGGGCAAUGGUGCGCUCGAGGGACGCAAGGCCUAGGUAAGAUGCCUUGAUCUGCCGACGCAGCGAAUCCUCGUGUGGGGAGAGUGCGCGUUGCUCCCGUGCGGUGUCAAGCCGGAGAAGGAGCUCUCGGGAUAUGGCAAGCUUGAGCCGAACAUUGCCAACAGUCCGAGGGCUCCAGUAGUAGUAGUCUAACUAGCUAGGAUUAUAAAAAAAAUAUGGGUUCAAGAUUCUGGGAGAAUCUGGGGGAAGGUCUGAUUCUCAAGAUUCUCAGAGAAUUGGCCAAAAGAACUGGCUUCCAUAGAGAACUGUGGCUGACGUCCUUAAAGGGCGACAUGGUCACUACAAUGUACAAACAAAACUGCAUAUGUACUAUGUAUUUGCUAUUGGUCAUCAGUAAUUUAUUUGCAGUCUAAAUAUAUUUGGGCACACUUAGGGUCAAGAUCUUAAAUAACUUGGAUCAAUCACGCAGGUGCAUGGAUUUGUACAAGAUAAUAUAACAGGGGAGAAAGUAGCUAUGUUAAUUGGAAAGUGGGAUGAAGCUAUGUAUUAUGUGCUUGGGGAUCCAAGCACUAAACCCAAGUGGUACGACCCAAUGUCAGAAGCAGUUCUUUUGUGGGAGAGAGACAAGUCUUUGAAUCAAACCCGAUAUAACCUUUCUCCAUUUGCAAUUUCUUUAAAUGAAUUGGCACCUCACAUGUUGACGAUGUUGCCUCCUACUGAUUCUCGCCUGAGGCCUGACCAGAGGCAUCUGGAAAAUGGUGAAUACGAGAAGGCAAAUUCGGAGAAACUCAGACUUGAANNNNNNNNNNNAACUCAGACUUGAACAACUUCAGCGGCAGGUAUUCCAGUAUUAUAUGUUUGAUUUAAUCUUUUAUCAAUGUGUUUUCUUGUUUCUUUUUAUCAUAGCAUCAUUUAUAGGAGUUGAGAUUCAUCACAUUGUCUGACCAAGUACCGCGGCUAAUAUUAUAAGUCAGAAAUCAUGGGUUUGAAAUCUCGUCUGUCGUGUGUAAUUUGUACUCAUUAGUCUCAUGAAUGAAGAAGCAUCUUCUAAUUGUUCCGUGGAUCUGAUGCUGGCACACUGUUUGUAAAGCUCAAUAUCCGAAGAAAUGCUCCUUCCAUCCCAAAAUUAGUGUCACUGAUUUAGUACAACUUUGUACUAAAUCUGUACUAAACCAGAGACGCUUAUUUUGGGACGGGGGGAGUGUGAUUGUAGUUUCCUAGGCGUUUUUCCUCAUAAUGAAAAAGAAACUUCCUAGGCGUUCUUUCAUUAUUGGUUGUAGCACCUAGCAUUUCAGACCCAGUUUAUUUAAUUUUAUUCUAGUUUGAUUUGCAAAGAUGACAAAAUUCUGACAGGUGAGCAUUCACAUUCAUAAUGAGGAAGAAAUUAUAAUUUUGGUGGUUACGCUAUUUGGCAGCAUAUUACUUGUGUUUAUCAUCAGGCUCAAUUUUAUGCUGGGCUUUGCCCCUGCUGGUGCGACCUGUAAUGGCUUAUAUUUACAGGCUCGAAGGUUACAAGAGAGAGGCUGGCAACCAAGGUGGUUCAGGAAGGACGAGGACGACAGCUACUGCUAUCUUGGGGGAUAUUGGGAAGCGAGGGAAAAAGGAAUCUGGAACGGGAUCCCCCAUAUAUUCGGCCAGAGCAGUGCAUCGCCUGAGUAGUCUCAGCUAUAACCCUGCGCCUCUUUCUUUUAUGGUAGUGGUAUCCACAUUUCAUUUACAGGAAACAUUGACUGGCACAAACUGAAUGUGUGAAUAUAUGCCAAUUUACUGGUGGUUUCUGGUAGCCGAAAUGUACUGGUAAAUACUUGAUGAGAUUGUGUUAGUAAGAAUGCAGUUAAGUAGGUAGGUUUAAUGCACGUGAAAUUCAGUUAUGGGCUCAGCUGAAAUAUACUUAUUUUGGAACAAUUUGAUCCCUUUUUCAGUCUGGAUGUUUGUCUAGCAGUUUUGUGAGUUCUGCAAUCAUACUUAUUACUGUAGGAGGCAGCGUUUUGGCUCCCAUGCCUAGCUACUUCUGAAAUUUGAACCACUUUCCCGCUUUUUAUGUGUUGAGUCGUGUAAAAUUUAGUCUUUUUCAGUUUUUUUUUUACCCUAAAACAGUACUUGUUGNNNNNNNNNNNNNNNNNNNNNNNNNNNNNNNNNNNNNNNNNNNNNNNNNNNNNNNNNNNNNNNNNNNNNNNNNNNNNNNNNNNNNNNNNNNNNNNNNNNNGCGCCCUCCUUUGUCCCUUCGGUUCUCACCGACUUUAGCCUACCUAUGGCAUAUGUUGUGAGUAUUCACCGACACUGAUGACCACCAUGGUUGAAAUUGCCCUGCUGCUGAUUGUUCAUCCCUUGCAACAGUUGAAGUAACAUAUGCGUGUUAGCAUUUGUUGCAGGCAUCACCGCUUGCCAUGCCUCUGGAGGAGGAGGCGGCGGCGGAGGAGGCGGUGGCGGAGAAUCAACACCCUCACGACCCAGAUUCUGGCGAGUUGGUGGAGCCAUCCUGAAGACGGACAACAUGUUAGACCAGAGAUUAACAUUUGAGGUAAAGCCGAAUCAAUAGGCAGAAAUAUCUGAACAAGAAUACUUAGCAAUUGCAUUCAAACAAUAAUUAGUAAGAAUGCUUCCUCAAAGUGACUGCCGACAACAUCUGAUUAAAGGACACUCGCAAACCAAGUGUGAGCUGGGAUUGCUCGGAACAAACAUAUGACAGAGAUUCCAUCCGAUAUCUUCGUGGAAAUGAUCGCACGGGUUCGAGCUUAUAGUAGCCAUCAUGUACAAGGCAGAGCACAUGACAUACGAAGCACCCCCGAGUCGUUGCAAGCUACAAGGACUCAUAAUACACAACGAGAACCGCUGUAGGAGGACCGUGAACAAACGAACCCACUGAAUGUCGAAUCCCAACCUCACAUCAUGCAUCUGUAGGAAUAUUGUCUUAUAAGUCACUACCUGAUAUCUCACCUAUGAACUCCCGAAAUUUUUGGUCAUGCAAUCUGGUCCACGGAUACAAGGAGUAAUAUAUCACUCAACUCCUAUACUAACCCGUACAAUGUAUCACAUCCAUCAACACAUAACCAGAAUUUCGGAACUUCAUAUAUCACAGACCCUCGUAAUCACAACGAUACUAAGUGUGGCUAUACAUCCGGAACUAUCUGCACCAGUACCGGGGAAGCCGGACUGCUCUCGUCACUACUAGUAUNACUGCUCUCGUCACUACUAGUAUUGAAGCGAUUUCGAGCAUCCUCCGUCCUGAGAUACUAAGAAAUCUGAAUGAUAGCGAUAUGCUCAAGAAUCCCCUGGAGCUCAACUCCCCGGAAGAAAUGAAGUCAGACAUGAGGCACCAAGACAGAACUCCGUCACAUCAACAUCAUAUAGAUUCCAAAAAUAUCUGCGUGAUCAUAAUUUUUUUUGAGCGAGAAGAGGAGUAGAAUGAAAAUUUGCUAACUCGUGAUCCUCACCAAGGCAUAGAAGAGGAGAAAAAAUAAACCUACUCUCCGAUAUAACUAAGACUCAAAAUAGUUUUGCUAUAGUCGACUCGCCAAGUUCGAUCACACAAAGACUCCUAUGGUCGUAAGGCUCUUAUUAAGAACUUGCAACGACUAAGAUGCGGCCCUUUCCUUAUUUGGGGGCGAGGCCUCAAAAGGGAAAGAUGCGCAUCUAUGCGUUUCACAAGUGAGAUAAUCAUAACAUUACAAUAACUAAAAGAGUGACAAGUAGGGCAUACACUUGCCAUCUGAUAAGAACAUAGUCAUACAGUCAUACAACCACACAUUACUACGAACAUGGAAAGGUCUAGCUACAGACAAGAUAAACAGGAAAAACUAUUAUAUCCCGCAUGCUGGCCCCACGAUCACGACCACGGCCUCUAGUCCUCCGGAUAAGUCACGUACAACCUGCCGCUGUCCUCAUCAAACUCCCACUUCAGCUGGUUGUCAUCGAGAACUCCUGCAUCAGGGGUACCUAUACCUGUGGGUGUUUGUAGUAAACCGUGAUCCAUGAGGACUCAACAAUCCUAUGACCUUGGUAUGGAAUCUAACUAAGUGAAAUGGGUGAGGAAGGUUAAGUGUAUGAGUUUGCAACAACCUAAGCUUGUAUGGUGGCUAUCUUACGAAGACCUGAGUUAACAUUUAGUGGCCUACGCAAGACGGUCGGUAACUAGAUUGAUCACGAAAUAAUCGUGAACAGCUACUUACGUCAUUGAUAACCCCACCGUGUUCUCGAACAGAGAAGGAGCUCUGUAGGAGACAGUCACGGUUACGCAUUCAGUUGGCAAGUUUCAUUAGAAUUACUUUAAGUUGUCUAGAACCGGAUGUUAACAAAAUAUCCAUGUUUGCCACAUAACCGCGGGCACGGCUUUCCAAAAGAUUAAACCCUGCAGGGGUGCUCCAACUAGUCCAUCACAAAUUACCACAGGCCGCAUAGUAAUCCUCUACCACGAAACUCGUGAUCUCGUCGGAUUCCUUAGAGGAAAACCUCAACUCUGUGAGACUCAAAGUUUCACCGGAAUCCCAAUGCACAAGAUAUAUUGCUAAGGUAAGACAAAUCCAGCAAGACCGCCCGACGUGUCGACGACCCCGAUAAGAGGCACAUAUCUUAGUCUCAGGACACGACGAAUGGGAAAGCCUACAGGAUACCAGACAUCAAGUUUCCUCGCGGUGGCCCCGCAGUGUGCCCAUUUUNNNNNNNNNNNNNNNNNNNNNNNNNNNNNNNNNNNNNNNNNNNNNNNNNNNNNNNNNNNNNNNNNNNNNNNNNNNNNNNNNNNNNNNNNNNNNNNNNNNNACACCUACUUACGUCAAUCAUAACCCCACCGUGUUCCCGGACGAAGAGAGGUCUUCGAAGGGGACAGUCACGGUUACGCACACAGUUGACAAUUUUAUUAGAUUAUGUUUAAGUUAUCUAUAACCGGAUGUUAACAAAUAUUCCAAGUUGCCACAUAACCGCAGGCACGGCUUUCAGAAAGACUAAACCCCGCAGGGGUGCUCCAAUUAGUCCAUCACAAACGUACACGGGCCACAAAGUAAUUCUUUAUCACGAAUCUCGUGAUCUUGUCGGAUUCCUUAGAGGAAAACCUGAACUCUGGGGAGAACCAAAGCUUCACCGGGAUUCCUAUACGCAAGAUAUAUCACUAAGGUAAGACAAGACUAGCAGGACCUCCCGACGUGUCGACGACCCUGAUAAGAGUUGUGUAUCUUAGUCUCAGGACACGCCGGAUAAGCGAAGCGUACAGUGGCCAGAGAAAUCUCCCGAGUUGCCCCGGGAUGGCCCCGCACGGUGCUCUAGUUUGGACCAACACUCAUGAGGAGCACUGGCCCGGGUUGUUGAUUAAAUUCCUCGGGUAGGCCAUUCCCUAUGCAGAUUAUUAAGUGAUUAGCAAAUUAACACCAAUGUUGGGUCCUGCUGGACAAGUCUUAGCACUAUGCAAUUUAUCGAGGGGGUCCCCAUAACAACCCUGAACGUGUUAGGAGCGAUCAUUAUGGAAUCAAACACCGGUAGCCGGUAACUAUGGCGGCAAUAACGGAACAAAACAGCCGGUAAAAGGCUAGGCCUCCCGUUAAUUACCAAGUAUAUAGGUGCAUUAAAUAAAUAACAUAAUUAAGAUAAUGAUAUCAACUCAUGUUAUCACAUGAGACAAGGCACCUGCAACUAGCAACGCUAACAUUAGAAGCUUAGCAAGCUACUUAGCCAUUCAAGAUUUGCUAGGAAGGGAUAAGUGUUUGGGUUUUCAUGGCAAUUCAGGAGGCAAUUAUUUCAAUGGUAGGCAGCGAGCAUAUGAUGGAAGAAACGUAAUCUAUCAUAACAAGUCUAGAGAUGGAAUCAAGGUCAUAUCAUCUUGCCUGUGACAUCCUGAGCUUGGAACUGCUCUUGUUCGUCCUGCACGUACUCUCCAGAAUCCACGUACUUGUUCUCCGACCCCGGUGCUACCCAACAUAAAAAUAGCAUCCAAUGAACANNNNNNNNNNNNNNNNNNNNNNNNNNNNNNNNNNNNNNNNNNNNNNNNNNNNNNNNNNNNNNNNNNNNNNNNNNNNNNNNNNNNNNNNNNNNNNNNNNNNCAUAUCCAUUUUCUUCCAAGCAUAAUCUGCAUCAUGAGCAGUUGCCUAAGCCGUUGGUAGUUGUUUCCCCUAGGAAACAUAUGAGUUCUCGUUUGUUUGUUCCUGAUAUCUCUAUCAAGAUGGGUGGUUAUUCUUUCACGUCUUCUCCAAUUGUCCUCGGCAAGUCUGAUAUUGAUCUGAUCCUUGGGAUGGAUUGGCUGGCUAUGAAUAAGGUAUUUCUUGAUUGUCAAGCAAAAGAAGUGAAGCUAACUCAUCCUUCGGAGGACGUGAUUAUCUUCGCGGCGCGUGAUGACACGAUCCGUCUGUUUUCCUUGAAUGACAAGGGUGAGAUCUCUCCAAUUUCUCAAGUCCCAGUGGUCUGCGAGUAUGAAUAUAUCUUUCUAGAAGAACUGUCAGGAAUGACUCCGCACCACGCAGUUGANNNAAUGCCUCCGCACCACGCAGUUGAGUUCAUAAUUGAGCUUGAACUGGGUACUGAACCAGUAUGCAAGCGGCCGUAUAAACUGGGUCCAGAAGAGCUAAAAGAGCUAAAGAACCAGCUUGAUGAGCAAGAGCGUCUGGGUCUGAUCAGACCAAGCUCAUCUCCUUGGGGUUGUGGAGUUCUUUUCAUCAAGAAGAAGGAUGACAUGGACUGACUAUGUGUCGAUUACUGCCCAUUGAAUAAGAAGACGAUCAGAAACAAGUAUCCACUUCCCAACAUCAAUGAGUUGUUCGAGAAAUUGAAAGGGGCUAAGAUCUUUUCGAAGCUUGAUCUUAGGAUAGGCUAUCAUCAGAUUCGCAUUCAUGAAGAGGACAUUCCCAAGACUGCCUUCAGGACAAGCUUUGGCUCGUAUGAGUACAUAGUGAUGUCUUUCGGUCUCGUCAAUGCUCCACCGACCUUCUAUCGGAUGAUGAAUUAUAUCUUCUCCCCAUUCAAGAAUGAAUUUAUCUUGUUGUAUCUUGAUGACAUUCUGGUCUUUUCUAAAAUUGAGGAAGAGCAUGAAUAACAUCUCCGGCUUGUGCUUGAUAAGCUAAGAGAGCAUAAGUUAUAUGCUAAGUUUUCCAAAUGUGAGUUCUGGUUGAAGGAAGUUGUGUACCUUGGGCACAUCAUCUCUGCCAAGGGCAUCAAAGUUGAUCCAUCAAAGGUGCAGGCCAUUGUUGAGUGGGAACCUCCUCAGAAUGUGAAGUAGCUUCGAAGCUUUCUCGGUCUUCCAAGCUAUUGCAGAAGAUUCGUUGAGAAUUUCUCUAAGAUUGCUAAGCCUUUGUCAAGCCUUCUUCAGAAGAGUGUGAAGUUUGUCUGGUCUCCAGAGUGUCAGUUUGCCUUCGACACACUCAAAGAGAAGCUCACUUCUACUCUAGUCUUGAUUCCUCUUGAUGAUUCCAAGUCUUAUCAAGUGUUCUGUGAUGCCUCUCUUCAAGGUCUUGGUGUAGUUCUGAUGCAAGAGAAAAAAGUUGUAGCUUAUACCUCGAGGCAGUUGAAUCCAAGUGAGAAGAAUUACCCCACUCAUGAUCUUGAGUUGGCAACAGUGGUACACGCUCUGAUGACUUGGAGACAUCUCUUGUUGGGCAGACAGGUUGAGGUCUACACCGAUCACAAGAAUCUCAAAUACAUCUUCACCCAGCCUAAUCUCAAUCUUCGGCAAACUCGUUGGGUGGAAAUGCUCCAAGAUUACAAUCCAAGCGUUGACUACACUCCAGGCAAAGCUAAUGUCAUUGCAGAUGCUAUGAGAAGAAAGGCUUACUGCAAUAGUCUCAUUCUGAAGCCUCUCCAGCAUGAUCUUUCUGAAUCUUUCAGGAAGCUCAACCUUCAGUUAGUACCUCAUGGAUUUCUUGCUAAUCUCCAGAUUUCUCCUACCUUGGAAGACCAAGUCCGACCAGCUCAACUCCUUGAUGUGAUGGUGAAGAAAGUUAAGAUUGGAUUGGCAAAGAGCAUUCCCAAAUAUAAGUGCUUCUGUGUUGAUGACAGAGAUACCUUGUUCUUCGAGGAUCGCCUUGUCGUUCCAAAAGGGGAGCUCAGGAAGGUUAUCAUGGAAGAAGCCCAUAAUUCUCUUCUCUCGAUACAUCCAGGAAGUUCCAAAAUGUAUCAGGAUGUGAAGCAGACCUUUUGGUGGACUCGCAUGAAGCAUGAAAUUGCUCAGUUCAUGAACGAGUGUGAUGUUUGUCGUAGAGUGAAAGCUGAGCAUCAACGUCCAGCAGGUCUUUUGCAUCCCUUGACCAUUCCCAAGUGGAAAUUCGAUCAUGUUGAGAUGGACUUCGGAAUGGAUUUCGUCACUGGAUUUCCGAAGUCCAAGAUAGGCAACGAUGCCAUCUUCGUCAUCAUCGAGAAGUUGAGCAAAGUCGCUCAUUUCCUUCCACACAAGGAGUCUAUCUCGGCAGCUCAACUUGCAGAGUUGUAUACAUCAAGGAUAGUCUCAUUGCAGGGUGUUCCAAUGCUGAUAUCUUCGGACCGCGGAAGCAUCUUUACUUCCAAGUUCUAGGAUUCAUUUCAGUCUGCGAUGGGAACUAAGAUUCGAUUUAGUAGAGCCUUCCAUCCUCAGACAAGUGGACAAGUUGAGAGAGUCAAUCAGGUCCUCGAGGAUAUGCUAAGGGCCUGUGUAAUUUCAUUUGGCAUGAAGUGGGAAGACUGCCUACCUUUUGCCGAGUUCUCAUACAACAACAGCUAUCAGGCAAGCUCAGGCAAGGCCCAUUCGAGAUUCUUUAUGGCAAGAAGUGGCGUACCCCGCUCAAUUGGUCGGAGACUGGUGAGCGUCAGAUUCUUGGGAAUGACAUGAUUGCUGAAGCAGAAGAAACGUGACGUGUUAUUCGGGAUAAUCUCAAAGCAACGCAGUUCCGUCAGAAGAGUUACUACGAUAGCAAGCAUCAUGACAUGACUUUUCAGCUCGAUGAUUUCGUGUAUCUCAAAGUGUCUCCCAUGAAGGGCACUCAGCGCUUCGGCAUCAAAGGGAAGCUUGCUCCUCGUUUUGUUGGUCCUUUCAGAAUUGUUGGCAAGAGAGGCGAUCUUGCAUAUCAGUUAGAGAUUCCUUCCAACUUCUCAAAUGUGCAUGACAUAUUUCAUGUCUCUCAGCUCUGGAGAUGCUUCAAGACUCCCGAGCGCACAGUUGAUCUCUGGGAUAUCGACCUCCAGCCCGACCUAUCCUACCAUGAGCAUGUAGUUGUAAUUCUUGAUGUGACUGAGCGCAAGACCCGCAAUAAGUCAAUCAAGUUUCUCAAAGUGCAGUGGUCACAUCAUUCCGACAAAGAGGCCACUUGGGAGCACGAGGAUCACCUCCGUUCCGAAUUUCCAAAGUCCUUAUAGUCCGACAUCUCGGGUCGAUAUCCUCUUGUAGUGUGGGAGACUUGUAACAGCUCAAGUGCUUUCUUUCCCCCCUUUGUAAGCUUUUCCAUAUGUGCCAACCAUGUUGAAGUUAUGUUAUGGAGGUGCUGAUAUGGUUAUCAUUUCAUGUACAUCUCAUGCAUCAUGCAUAUCUUGCAUCUUCCUUUUUGCUUAGUCUUGUUCUUGGUGUUCUUCCACCUUGGUGAUGCGGUUGUAUGUGUCUUGGAUGUUUUUAUGGAGUGUGGUGUGGGUGCAACAAGGAACCUUCAAAACCUUAGUUGCACCAAGGACCAAAUAGACCCCCCUCUCUUUUCUAACUUAAAAUUUAAGUUUCUAUUUUGGCAAUGAAAAAUGUUCAUCAAGUUCCUGUUUUGGCCAUUAAAAAUGUUCAUCUUCUUUAAAAAUACUUCUAAAUAUUUGUGGGUGGCAACACUCACCUACUUAAAUUAUUCUUCCUUUGUUUUUAUAUUUAAAAGAGGGCCAAUUUCUUUAAAAUCAAUGUAUUUUGCUUUGCUUAAAAAUGCCCCUCCUAUUUUUUUUAAAUAGGGGGCUCAUUGUGUUUUCCAAAAAAAAUACUUAUCUUGUCAUAACCCCUUUUCCCUUUUCCUGAUUUUUAUUUAUUUUCAAACUAUUGUUUUUUUAAAAGAUAGGUAGUGUGAUAUUCUUUUAGUAGCAGAGAAGGAGAGUUGGGUCAGUUCUUCUUCUCAGGCCCCUCUUCUUUUCUCUCGCGCCAGGGCCCAUCUCCCUUUCCUUUCUUCUUCCUGACGCCGUUCCUCCCCUGUCUGCUUUCCGUCAAAGAGCGCGUGAGAGAGAGAGAGAGCGUCGCCGUGGCUCACGGAUGUCGAGGUGUCGUCCCAUCCUCGCAUACUUAAGCGCCAUUGGUGUGUGUGCCUUCUAGGGUUCCCUCUCCCCGCCGCCACCUCUUUCCGCCUCUCCUUUCCUCUCCCUCUCAGGUAAGUUUCACAAAAGGGAGGUUCAGAUUCAGAAUGUCGCGCCGUCCCCCCCCCCCUCGUCGCCGGUGCUCCUCCGUGGAGUCCAGGUGGUAGGGAGGAUGAUGGAUCCCCCUCGACCCGUUCCCGUUGGUAGGGGGCUGGAUCUCCUCCUGUGUCGUCUUCUUUGCGUCGGCUUCGUCGGAGACCCCAGGGUGAGCGCCAUCUCCUCCUCUUCCUUCCCUUGCACUUAACGGCUUAAGUUCUCCCCUGUGUGAGUGGUCGUCGCCGGCAUCGAGCUCCACUUGGCCCGGUGCAGCAGCUCCGUCGAGCCGCCGUCGUGGGCUUCCUCCCGGUGAGUUAACCCCGGGAAUGGAACCCCGACGGACCCGCUUCCCUCGCGUGGUGCUUAGUUGGUCAUAUAGGCGCCGGAGUGCACGAUGGCGUCGUCCUGUGUUCAGGCGGCGAUGUUGUGCUUUGUUGCUUGGCAGCAGUAGCAUUAGUUUCAGAAGAUGGCAGUAGCAACAUAUUCAGAGGAUAGCAGUAGCAGCAGUUCCAAGUGAUAGCAUUAGCGUGUUGUGGGAGCAGCAGCAGUAGAUCGCGGCAGCAACGCAGCUGCUCGAGCGCGCGAACCCCAGCUAGCACUCCCACCCUAUGGAGUGCUUGCGUGCGUGCACGUGUGUGAGUCUGGGCAGAACGACGACGCGCGUGGUAGUUUUCAUCUGGAGCGGAGCCCCUCUUUGGGUAGAUCCCCCUCCUAGACAGACAGGUUCGAGCGUAGCGAUGCGACCCGGAGGUCCAAGGUUCGAUCCCCCCUGACGACCCUUUUGUUUCAUUAGUUUUUACACUCUUUGCGCUAGGAUCGAGUGGUAGCUGGCGAUGUGUGUAGCAGGAGGGAGUCGGUUUGAUCCCCACUCUGGUUGUUUGUUUGUUUUUCUCCUGACUAUAGCAGUGUGUGUAGUUGUGUGUGUCUGUGUGUAUGACAGUGGGCCCCUGCCUGGUGGGACCCCCUCCUCAUUAUUAUUUUUCUUUGUGUAUUUGUUUAUUUUGUUGGUGAUAUUCCUGGUGCCAAAAGGGCAUGUUUCCAUUUCUGGAAAUGUCCAAAUCUGGACUUGCCAAAUUUGGGUUGUCUCAAGAACAGUUCAUGUUCUUGAAUUAUUGUUGUGGUUGGAUUCUAUGUCAGAUUCCUUUUCUUGUUUGUGAUGUUUUAUAGAUGCAAAGGUGGCAGUG